AUCUGGCUGGCUCAGUUGGUAGACCAUGUGACUCUUGAUCUUGGGGUUGUGAGUUCGAGUCCCACGCUGGGUG
rnacentral:tRNA from 1 species